UACGUAGGGCGCAAGCGUUUGUCCGGAAUUAUUGGGCGUAAAGAGCUCGUAGGCGGCUUGUCACGUCGGAUGUGAAAGCCCGAGGCUUAACCUCGGGUCUGCAUUCGAUACGGGCUAGCUAGAGUGUGGUAGGGGAGAUCGGAAUUCCUGGUGUAGCGGUGAAAUGCGCAGAUAUCAGGAGGAACACCGGUGGCGAAGGCGGAUCUCUGGGCCAUUACUGACGCUGAGGAGCGAAAGCGUGGGGAGCGAACAGG
rnacentral:rRNA from 1 species